rnacentral:rRNA from 1 species
ACAUGCAAGUCGAACGAAGUAGCAAUACUUAGUGGCAGACGGGUGAGUAACAUGUAGGUAUCUACCCUAUGGCCUGGAAUAACACGAGGAAACUUGUGCUAAUACCGGAUAAGUCUUUACGGAGAAAGCUUUAUGCACCAUUGGAUGAGCCUGCACUUGAUUAGUUUGUUGGUAGGGUAAUGGCCUACCAAGACUGUGAUCAAUAGCUGAUUUGAGAGGAUGAUCAGCCACAUUGGGACUGAGACACGGCCCAAACUCCUACGGGAGGCAGCAGUGGGGAAUCUUGCACAAUGGAGGAAACUCUGAUGCAGCGAUGCCGCGUGAGUGAAGAAGGCCCUUGGGUUGUAAAGCUCUUUCGUCGGGGAAGAAAAUGACUGUACCCGAAUAAGAAGGUCCGGCUAACUUCGUGCCAGCAGCCGCGGUAAUACGAAGGGACCUAGCGUAGUUCGGAAUUACUGGGCUUAAAGAGUUCGUAGGUGGUUGAAAAAGUUGGUGGUGAAAUCCCAGAGCUUAACUCUGGAACUGCCAUCAAAACUUUUCAGCUAGAGUAUGAUAGAGGAAAGCAGAAUUUCUAGUGUAGAGGUGAAAUUCGUAGAUAUUAGAAAGAAUACCAAUUGCGAAGGCAGCUUUCUGGAUCAUUACUGACACUGAGGAACGAAAGCAUGGGUAGCGAAGAGGAUUAGAUACCCUCGUAGUCCAUGCCGUAAACGAUGUGUGUUAGACGUUGGAAAUUUAUUUUCAGUGUCGCAGCGAAAGCGAUAAACACACCGCCUGGGGAGUACGACC